rnacentral:tRNA from 1 species
AGGCCUUUAAUCUAAUUAAGAUAAUUGAUUUCGACUCAAUAUAUCAUGGUAUUUAACCCAUGAAUGCCUU